GGGCGAGAGCGGCGAAAGGGAGAGUAACGCGUGGGUAACCUACCCCCGGGACCGGGAUAGCCGCGGGAAACUGCGGGUAAUACCGGAUAACGUCUCCGGACCAAAAGGUGUGAUUCCGCCUGGGGUGGGGCCCGCGUCCUAUUAGCUAGUUGGUGAGGUAAUGGCUCACCAAGGCGAAGAUGGGUACGGGGUGUGAGAGCAUGCCCCCGCUCACUGGGACUGAGACACUGCCCAGACACCUACGGGUGGCUGCAGUCGAGGAUCUUCGGCAAUGGGCGAAAGCCUGACCGAGCGACGCCGCGUGCGGGAUGAAGGCCUUCGGGUUGUAAACCGCUGUCAGAGGGGAGGAAAUGUCGGGGUGUAAUAGAUAAUCGCCCUGGCUUGACCUAUCCUCAGAGGAAGGACGGGCUAAGUUCGUGCCAGCAGCCGCGGUAAGACGAACCGUCCAAACGUUAUUCGGAAUCACUGGGCUUAAAGGGUGCGUAGGCGGCUCGGCAAGUUGGGUGUGAAAGCCCUCGGCUCAACCGAGGAACUGCGCCCAAAACUGCCGGGCUAGAGGGAGACAGAGGUGAGCGGAACUUAGGGUGGAGCGGUGAAAUGCUUUGAUAUCCUAACGAACACCGGUAGCGAAAGCGGCUCACUGGGUCUUUGCUGACGCUGAGCACGAAAGCUAGGGGAGCGAACGGGAUUAGAUACCCCGGUAGUCCCAGCCCUAAACGAUGAGCACUGGGUUUGGAGGGUCCUCCACAACCUUCCAGACGAGCGAAAGUGUUAAGUG
rnacentral:rRNA from 1 species